UGUUGCCUCAGCCCGUGCGACUAGCUGUCCCAUGGGGACUCGCUGUCCACGGAAUUUUCCAGGCAAGAAUACCUGAGAUGCUGGCAACAACACUAGCAGCAGCAGUUAAAGCAUUGGAGGAAAUAUAACUAAAUUUCUCCAUUGAGAAACCUCAGAUGGACCCCAAGCCUUCCACAGGAAUGUGGCCUGAUCCUGAGCCUGAUACUUCUCCAAAUGAUUCUUGUACAAAAUGGAAAAAGGU